rnacentral:sRNA from 1 species
UAGAGGUGGCAGAGACAGGAACGGAGCCAAGGUGGCAGGAGGUGGGAGCAGAGCUAGGGCACU